GUGUCCAUCUACUAAAAUAUCUGGUGGGGAGGUGGGACACUACUAGCCCUGACAGCCUUUCCACCUAACUUUCCAGAUUUCAGUUCCCCCAGGUGUCUAGUGAGCUGUCCUUUAUUUCUCUUCCAUUCGCAGUUAUUUUGAGCAGUUUAGAAGUUGAGUUUUCAUGAGGCUGCACUGAGAAGUUUGAUUAGUCAGGCAAAGAUGGACUUGAGAGACUCUAAUUAGAGACAGUCUUGUGUUCAAAUAAGGCAUGUGGGAGGAAAGUCACAGCUGACUUUUCCAGACUUCCAUCGAGAGCCCAAGACUCAGAGUGAAAAUGCUGUCAGAUGCUUAAAUGAAAUUUGCUACUGAUAUCUUAACUAGGAGGCAUGGAGAAGCCAGAAAAUGGAAUCAACAAUCCAUUACAUGCCCCACUCCUCUUCUUUUUCCAGUCUUAAAAGAGUCUCCUUCCUCAUCUCCACCUCAUCACUUAUCUGUCCAGGAAGAGAAGAGCUGUGAGAUCCGGAGAGGACCGGCAGGUGAAAUGUCUAGACGGGGGACACAGGGAGCCACUGCCUGCUCUGCCGUGUUGAAUCAUCACGUUGACUACAUGCCAGGCACUGUGUUAUAAUAUCGUCACACCACUGUCCCAAUGUCCCCAAGUGAUAGGCUAACAACCAAGAGGAGAUAAAAGAUAAAAUAACAGGUAGAAUUAUGGUGGAACGUGAAACAGAUCAAUCCAUGAAAGCAACUAUGUGAAUUGUGGAAUAUAAGUUCUCUUUGUGCUCUAUCAAAGUAAAAUUUGCAAAAACUUAGACCAAGGUAAAAAAU